GUGAACUACCGCUGAGCUAAAGACGCAGCGGCUUCUUCGGAAGUCACUGAAGAUUUGGUUCAGUAGCUUCUUCGGAAGUCUGAGUUCACCAGACUCAGCCCCAGAAAUGGGCGCUACGUUUGAUAGGUCAUGACACCUGCGGUUGACGCAUCAGACCGCUGCUCUGUC
rnacentral:sRNA from 21 species